CAGCGGCGCAGGGCGCGGAGGCGGCGUGAGCGAAGUGACCGUGCGUGUAGAGUGGGACAGGCUCUUAGUUUAAAAUUGUAGGCCGGACUCGCCGUGCCGACUGUCAGCCUAAAGCUGGAUCUGCUCUUCCGAGCCCUGGGCCGGACCUACACUGCGGGAGAAUUUGGUGAACUAUGUUCUUGGGCUGCCAAGAAGUUCAUUCAGGUUGUUCCAUAACAUCUUUACUUUGGUAUUAAAGUAAUGGAGGUCUGCUAAUAAUCACCAAUAUUGUUCGACUUACAAACCAUGUCUGUAUACUGAGAGUGCAUAGUGGAAUUGACUGGAAUAAUGUAACUGUAAGAAUCACUAUCUUUUCAGUU